rnacentral:rRNA from 1 species
UACGGAGGGAGCUAGCGUUGUUCGGAAUUACUGGGCGUAAAGCGCGCGUAGGCGGCUUUGUAAGUUAGAGGUGAAAGCCCGGGGCUCAACCCCGGAACUGCCUUUAAAACUGCAUCGCUUGAAUCCGGGAGAGGUGAGUGGAAUUCCGAGUGUAGAGGUGAAAGUUCGUAAGAUAUUCGGAAGAACACCAGUGGCGAAGGCGGCUCACUGGACCGGCAUUGACGCUGAGGUGCGAAAGCGUGGGGAGGCAAACAGG